rnacentral:ncRNA from 1 species
UUUGAGCAUGACCGGUGCCAUUUAUUCAUUUCUCGCUUUUAGGUGAAUGAAUUGAAUAUCUAAGGCUGAGAUGAUACGGUUGAACUUGAACUAGUUAAUACUAGCGCGAAGAACAUGCAAUUUUUAUCUU